rnacentral:rRNA from 1 species
GUGCCAGCAGCCGCGGUAAUACGUAGGGUGCAAGCGUUGUCCUUAAUAUUUGGGCGUAAAGAGCUCGUAGGCGGUGUGUCACGUCUGCCGUGAAAACCUGCGGCUUAACCGUGGGCGUGCGGUGGAUACGGGCAUCACUUGAGUUCGGUAGGGGAGACUGGAAUUCCUGGUGUAGCGGUGGAAUGCGCAGAUAUCAGGAGGAACACCGGUGGCGAAGGCGGGUCUCUGGGCCGAUACUGACGCUGAGGAGCGAAAGCGUGGGGAGCGAACAGGAUUAGAUACCCUGGUAGUCCACGCCGUAAACGUUGGGCGCUAGGUGUGGGGCGCUGUUCACGUGUCCCGUGCCGUAGCUAACGCAUU